rnacentral:lncRNA from 1 species
GUCGUUUUUCUUCCAUCUUUGCCAGAGCAGCGUCCGCGGAGAGUUGCGCCUGGCAGCGGGGGGCGGCGGGGAGGGGCGGGGCGGGUGGGAUGGGGACGGGGACGGGAUGGGGAUGCGCAGAGCCCCUCACGCCGCUGUCAUCGCCGCCGUCCCGGCCCUGCUCAGGGGCGGCCGCCCGGGAACUCCAUGGCUGCUCCCAGCCGAGAUGGCCGCUCGCAGCGCGGCCCGCCGAGCCCUGCCCGCCCGCCGCGGGUGCUCUCUGUUGGGUUUUUUUUCACCCCGCACUUCCUCAGGAUCUCCUCGCCCCGCCGCUCGGGCUCCGGGAGGAGGGAGGCGGAGAAGCCACUUUCGGAGCGGGGCCGGAUAAUGGUGCUGCCGCUCCCCCCCCCCCCCAACCCCCCACCCUCCCCUCCCUCCCGCCCCAAAUCUUCCCCCUUAAUUUCUUCUCCC